rnacentral:rRNA from 1 species
AGUGAACGCUGGCGGUAGGCCUAACACAUGCAAGUCGAACGGCAGCACAGUAAGAGCUUGCUCUUACGGGUGGCGAGUGGCGGACGGGUGAGGAAUACAUCGGAAUCUACUUUUUCGUGGGGGAUAACGUAGGGAAACUUACGCUAAUACCGCAUACGACCUACGGGUGAAAGCAGGGGAUCUUCGGACCUUGCGCGAUUGAAUGAGCCGAUGUCGGAUUAGCUAGUUGGCGGGGUAAAGGCCCACCAAGGCGACGAUCCGUAGCUGGUAUGAGAGGAUGAUCAGCCACACUAGAACUGAGACACGGUCCAGACUCCUACGGGAGGCAGCAGUGGGGAAUAUUGGACAAUGGGCGCAAGCCUGAUCCAGCCAUACGGCGUGGGUGAAGAAGGCCUUCGGGUUGUAAAGCCCUUUUGUUGGGAAAGAAAAGCAGCAGGUUAAUACCCCGCUGUUCUGACGGUACCCUAAGAAUAAGCACCGGCUAACUUCGUG